CCCGCUGAACUUAAGCAUAUCAAUAAGCGGAGGAAAAGAAACUAACAAGGAUUCCCCUAGUAACGGCGAGUGAAGCGGGAUGAGCUCAAAUUUGAAAUCUGGCUGGUUUACUAGUCCGAGUUGUAAUUUAAAGAAGCGUUUUCGGUGGCAGCCUGGGUAUAAAUCCUUUGGAAUAGGGUAUCAUAGAGGGUGAGAAUCCCGUCUUUGACACGGACUACCAGUGCUAUGUGAUGCGCUCUCGACGAGUCGAGUUGUUUGGGAAUGCAGCUCAAAAUGGGUGGUAAAUUCCAUCUAAAGCUAAAUACAGGCGAGAGACCGAUAGCGAACAAGUACCGUGAGGGAAAGAUGAAAAGAACUUUGGAAAGAGAGUUAAACAGUAUGUGAAAUUGCUGAAAGGGAAACGCUUGAUGUCAGUCACGUUGGCUAGGGAUCAACCUUGCUUCUCGCUGGGUGUAUUUCCUAGUGGACGGGUCAGCAUCAGUUUCGGUCGCUGUACAAGGGCAAAGGGAACGUGGCACUCCUUGGAGUGUGUUAUAGCCUUUCGUCGUAUGCAGUGGUUGGGACUGAGGAACUCGGCACGAAAUCUAUUUUGUGCUUAGGAUGCUGGCAUAAUGGCCUUAAGCGACCCGUCUUGAAACACGG
rnacentral:rRNA from 1 species